rnacentral:rRNA from 1 species
AUUGGAUGAGCCCGCGGCCUAUUAGCUAGUUGGUAGGGUAACGGCCUACCAAGGUUAUGAUGGGUAGCCGGCCUGAGAGGGUGAUCGGCCACACUGGGACUGCGACACGGCCCAGACUCCUACGGGAGGCAGCAGUGAGGAAUUUUGCGCAAUGGGCGAAAGCCUGACGCAGCGACGCCGCGUGGAGGAAGACGGCCUUCGGGUUGUAAACUCCUGUCAGAGGUGAAGAAUGCCCGCAAGGGUUCGACGGUAACCUCAAAGGAAGCCCCGGCUAACUACGUGCCAGCAGCCGCGGCCGAAU